AGAGUUUGAUCCUGGCUCAGAAUCAACGCUGGCGGCGUGCCUCAGACAUGCAAGUCGAACGCGAAAGUCCCCUUCGGGGGGUGAGUAGAGUGGCGCCUGGGUGAGUAACACGUAGGUAAUCUACCUUCGGGUGGGGAAUAACGCAGGGAAACUUGCGCUAAUACCGCAUAAUGCAGCGGCACCACAUGGUGACAGUUGUUAAAGCGGGGGAUUUUCGAACCUCGCGCCUGAAGAGGAGCCUGCGGCAGAUUAGCUGGUUGGUAAGGUAACGGCUUACCAAGGCGACGAUCUGUAACCGGCCUGAGAGGGCGGUCGGUCACACUGACACUGACAUACGGGUCAGACUCCUACGGGAGGCAGCAGUCGGGAAUUUUGGGCAAUGGGCGAAAGCCUGACCCAGCAACGCCGCGUGAAGGAUGAAAUCCCUCGGGAUGUAAACUUCGCAAGAAUGGGAAGAAUUAGUAGGGGCUAAUACCCUCUAUGAUGACGGUACCAUUUGUAAGCUCCGGCUAACUCCGUGCCAGCAGCCGCGGUAAUACGGGGGGAGCAAGCGUUGUUCGGAUUUACUGGGCGUAAAGGGCGCGUGGGCGGUCAGCACAAGUCAGUUGUGAAAUCUCCGGGCUUAACUCGGAAAGGUCAACUGAUACUGUGCGACUAGAGUGCAGAAGGGGCAACUGGAAUUCUCGGUGUAGCGGUGAAAUGCGUAGAUAUCGAGAGGAACACCUGCGGCGAAGGCGGGUUGCUGGGCUGACACUGAUGCUGAUGCGCGAAAGCCAGGGGAGCGAACGGGAUUAGAUACCUCGGUAGUCCUGGCCUUAAACGAUGGAUGCUUGGUGUCUGGAGUUUUAUAGUCUCCGGGUGCCAUAGCUAACGCGUUAAGCAUCUCGCCUGGGGGAGUACGGUCGCAGACUGAAACUCAAAGGAUUG
rnacentral:rRNA from 1 species